rnacentral:piRNA from 1 species
UGCUACAGCAUAGUUCUCAACACCUGAGA